GUAGGUGGCAAGCGUUGUCCGGAAUUAUUGGGGCGUAAAGCGCGCGCAGGCGGUCCUUUAAGUCUGAUGUGAAAGCCCACGGCUCAACCGUGGAGGGGUCAUUGGAAACUGGGGGACUUGAGUGCAGAAGAGGAGAGUGGAAUUCCACGUGUAGCGGUGAAAUGCGUAGAGAUGUGGAGGAACACCAGUGGCGAAGGCGACUCUCUGGUCUGUAGCUGACGCUGAGGCGCGAAAGCGUGGGGAGCGAACAGGAUUAGAUACCCUGGUAGUCCACGCCGUAAACGAUGAGUGCUAAGUGUUAGAGGGUUUCCGCCCUUUAGUGCUGCAGCUAACGCAUUAAGCACUCCGCCUGGGGAGUACGGUCGCAAAGACUG
rnacentral:rRNA from 1 species